rnacentral:rRNA from 1 species
GAUGAACGCUGGCGGCGUGCCUAAUACAUGCAAGUCGAGCGAACGGACGAGAAGCUUGCUUCUCUGAUGUUAGCGGCGGACGGGUGAGUAACACGUGGAUAACCUACCUAUCAGACUGGGAUAACUUCGGGAAACCGGAGCUAAUACCGGAUAAUAUUUUGAACCGCAUGGUUCAAAAGUGAAAGACGGUCUUGCUGUCACUUAUAGAUGGAUCCGCGCUGCAUUAGCUAGUUGGUAAGGUAACGGCUUACCAAGGCAACGAUGCAUAGCCGACCUGGGAGGGGGAUCGGCCACACUGGAACUGAGACACGGUCCAGACUCCUACGGGAGGCAGCAGUAGGGAAUCUUCCGCAAUGGGCGAAAGCCUGACGGAGCAACGCCGCGUGAGUGAUGAAGGUCUUCGGAUCGUAAAACUCUGUUAUUAGGGAAGAACAUAUGUGUAAGUAACUGUGCACAUCUUGACGGUACCUAAUCAGAAAGCCACGGCUAACUACGUG